GCACUGCAUUGUGGGUCAUGGCGAAGCACGGUCAUAAAUCGGUCAUGGAGGUUAAGGACUGUCUCCCUGAAGGACUUACAAUACUUAUCUUCAAUAAUAUUUACAAUGAAAAGUGAGAACUUUCAACUUCAUUGUAGUUCGGGCGGUGAGCUGGUUUAACGCGCUGCACAGCUGACGUCACGGUCGCAGGUGAGCUGGAGCCUAUCCCAGCUGACUUGGGGCAAGAGGCGGAGUACACCCUGGACUGGUCGCCAGCCAAUCAUCCAGUCUACAUGAUGAAGAAUGUCGGACGAAUAAUCAAAGACAAAUGAGCACUUUUAAUUGGGCGCUUCGAGCAGCUCGAAUCUCUCCUGGUCGGAUUCAUGGAUGGGAAGAGCCGCCCUCUACUGACGC